UCCUCCUUUGGAGCUUCAGCUGGAGUUUCUGGUGCCCGUGACGGCGCUUCUGCCUCAGUUGCAACCUCGGUAGUCUCUUUGGGAGCCUCCUCAACAACGGUGUCUGGUGCUGGUUCCCCUUUUGGAGUCUCUUCAACACCCACAGGCUCUGGUGUUUCUUCCUUAGGUUUCUCUUCUUCUUCAGUUUUCUCUACUUUUGGCUCUUCUGUCACAGUCUUGGCCUCUCCAACUUCUAACACCUCUUUAGUUUCAACAACUACUUCAGCCGGAGCAUCAGCCUCCUUUGUUGCUACAGUUUCUUCAGAUACUGCAACCGCCUCAGCUUCUUUUGGCUCCUCUUUUGGCUUUUCAGCAACUGGCUCUACUGCUGGUGCUGCCUCUUCUUUUAUGGUCUCUGAAACCUUCGCUUCUUCAUGUUUUUCCUCUGCAAGUGCAGUCUG
rnacentral:misc_RNA from 1 species